AACGAACGAAACGUUACUUUUAACAAUUAAGUACACUUUCCGACACAAUUCUGAGAUAAUGUACAUUCUGAAUUUUUUUUCGCGUUCCAAAAAAAAGUCGCCUGUACAAUGAAGCCCGCUUCUUUUUAAUUAAGUGCUAGCCACCAGCUGUCGAUGCUAACGUUAAUUGCGUCGAAGUGACUUGGCUCCGCCGCGGCUUUGUUAUUAAUUUCGUUUUUAACUCAACAAAAGAAGGCAUAGCAGCUGGAAGACUACAAGGACCGUUGAAGCUUCGAUGCACCCCCCCACCCCCACUGAGGCAACCUGCAGGAAGUGAGUAAUUUCUGCCAGCUUGUUCUACUUGGAUGAAGUCCCAGGCUGUGACACACAUAUCCGAGCUUCCAAAUGUCAUCCUGCGCGUACCCGUCGUCUCUGGGAGAAGGCCGCAAGGAUGUGCUGAGCCCAACAGAACAACUCAUCUGUGACAUUUCCAGGGAUUAGCUCUGCCCCGACCCACAAGGAAACCAUCAGCCAAAUGUGGUGGUUUUGGACCUUGCUAUAUUCUGGAAUAUAAUCCAGCGAUACCGACC